GGAGUGAUUCACAACUGUGGAGACACUUUGACAAGUGGGCACUGGAUGCUGAGUAUUGAAGGCGAGGUGGUGUGUGAGGGCACUCAGCCCAGUUUCCUGUCCGGCCUUGCCACUCUGUUUGCUGCUUAUUACUAGUUUAAUCUUGAGUAUCAGGAGGAAGCAUUGUGUACCUUGGAGUUCAUUCAAAGGUGCUUUGUGGGCAUAAAUCCAGAGAGAGGACCCAAAGCCAAGGGAAAAGUGCCAUCGAAA